AGGAAAGGAACCUACCCAUCAGAAGAGGUUUGAACUAGAAGACGAAAAAGAUAAGAAGAUGCCCCAUUUUUUAAAGGUAUAGGUUUGGGAAAAUGGGGUUUUAUAGGGGUGUGAAGGCUUGAUUGCGAGUUUUUUGGUAGGAGACUACUUACCAAGGCUUCGUAGGAAAGAGGCCUUGGAAAAGUGGAAUUCAUUCUGCUCCGAAAGAGCCUUGGACAGAAAAGCAAAACGAAG
rnacentral:lncRNA from 1 species